rnacentral:lncRNA from 1 species
CAAUGGGAAGUUAGCCUGCAGAAAACUCAUGAAACUUCAUGAAAUUUGCCCUCUGUUGAAUAGCUUGGAAUGGAGCACUGGGAUUUCCCCCUGAGGACCAUGACUUUUCACUCCAAGGAGGACUAAGACUUAUUUUUCACCAGUCUUGUACACCCCUGCUCAGAGAUUAAUCCAAAAGCUGAGAAAAUGGGAAAAUCUGCUAGGAAAAUCCUACAGGGUAAAUCUUUUUAUCUUUUUUUCUAGAACUGUUGAAACAUUAACAAACUCUUUUAAUUCAUAAUCAUCCUCAAUUAUAAAGGCUAAAUUAGAUUUGAUAGAUGUGUUGUUUCAGGAAGAUAAUGGUAAAGUCCAUCAGUAAAGAAGAUAGCUAGGUGACUAAGUAGAUAGAAAGCCAGAUUUAGAGAUGGGUCAACCUGGUUUCAAAUUUGACCUCAGACAUUUCCUAGCUGUGUAAUUCUGGGAAAGUCAUUUAACUUUUACUGCUGAGUCCAUACUGCUCUUCUGCUUUGGACCAAUACAUAGUGUUGAUUCUAAGAGUGAAAGUAAG